UUCACUUCCUGCCUGCUCUCCGUUUGCUCUGCUGGACGCCGCCCGCUCCGCUCCGCAUGCUUCCUCCUCUGCUUGCAGAUGCAUGCCUGCCUUCAUCAGAUCUUCCUGCUCUUGAACGUUUGGUUCUUCAUGGUUCUGUAGUGGCUCCAUCGUCUCCCCAUCAGGAACCUCCUGCUGGUCCGGUGGAAACAUCUAAUCGGGUCACUUUGUGUUCUUUGCAGGUUUGACAUGAAGGUCAACAAGAAGCCCAGAGCUGAUUAUUCCACCUGAGGAACCAGAACUCUCCGUUAGACCCACAAACUCCUGGACUUUGAUGCCUGUUGUUGUCCUGUAAACAUUCCCGCCUUUUAUCCCGGUUCUGUCUGGACCCGCCGGAUCAGAACCACUGUUUCAUCAGGCCUCCUGGUCUGUAUUUAUUGUUUAGCGUCACAUUUAUGAGCCGUUUGUUUUUCAGAAAACCAAUAAAAGUGUGAAACACA